rnacentral:rRNA from 1 species
ACUGAACGCUGGCGGCAUGCCCUACACAUGCAAGUCGAACGGCAGCACGGACUUCGGUCUGGUGGCGAGUGGCGAACGGGUGAGUAAUAUAUCGGAACAUGCCUUGUAGUGGGGGAUAACUAUCCGAAAGGAUAGCUAAUACCGCAUACGCUCUAUGGAGGAAAGCGGGGGAUCGUAAGACCUCGUGCUAUAAGAGUGGCCGAUAUCUGAUUAGCUAGUUGGUGAGGUAAAGGCUCACCAAGGCGAGGAUCAGUAGCUGGUCUGAGAGGACGACCAGCCACACUGGAACUGAGACACGGGCCAGACUCCUACGGGAGGCAGCAGUGGGGAAUUUUGGACAAUGUGGGGAACCCUGAUCCAGCAAUGCCGCGUGAGUGAAGAAGGCCUUCGGGUUGUAAAGCUCUUUUGUCAGGGAAGAAACGGUUGUGGCUAAUAUCCAUGGCUAAUGACGGUACCUGAAGAAUAAGCACCGGCUAACUACGUGCCAGCCGCCGCGGUAAAAC